rnacentral:siRNA from 1 species
AGAGGAGAAUAUUGAGUGGUCAG